GAUGAAGAACGCAGCAAAAUGCGAUAAGUAAUGUGAAUUGCAGAAUUCAGUGAAUCAUCGAAUCUUUGAACGCACAUUGCGCCCGCCAGUAUUCUGGCGGGCAUGCCUGUUCGAGCGUCAUUUCAACCCUCAAGCACAGCUUGGUGUUGGGACUCGCGUUAAUUCGCGUUCCCCAAAUUGAUUGGCGGUCACGUCGAGCUUCCAUAGCGUAGUAGUAAAACCCUCGUUACUGGUAAUCGUCGCGGCCACGCCGUUAAACCCCAACUUCUGAAUGCUGACCUCGGAUCAGGUAGGAAUACCCGCUGAACUUAAGCAUAUCAAUAAGCGGAGGA
rnacentral:misc_RNA from 1 species